rnacentral:tRNA from 1 species
CGGGGCGUGGCGCAGCCUGGCUAGCGCGUUUGACUGGGGGUCAAAAGGUCGCAGGUUCAAAUCCUGUCGCCCCGA